GAUGAAGAACGUAGCGAAAUGCGAUACUUGGUGUGAAUUGCAGAAUCCCGUGAACCAUCGAGUCUUUGAACGCAAGUUGCGCCCGAAGCCAUUAGGCCGAGGGAACGCCUGCCUGGGCGUCACACGUCGUUGCCCCCCCAUCUACUCCUUCGGGAUUGCGGGGGGCGGAUGAUGGCCUCUCGUGCGCCUCGUCGCGCGGUUGGCCUAAAUGCCAAGUCCUCGGCGACGCACGCCACGACAAUCGGUGGUUGCGAAACCUCGGUUGCCUGUCGUGUGCGGUCGUCGCGCAUCGAGGGCUCGAAAAAAUUGCCGGGCUUCGGCUCGACUUUCAACGCGACCCCAGGUCAGGCGGGGUUACCCGCUGAAUUUAAGCAUAUCAAUAAGCGGAGGA
rnacentral:misc_RNA from 1 species